rfam:Otolemur garnettii contig059044, whole genome shotgun sequence.
CCAAAGGCUCUUUUAAGAGCCACCCCCAUGUCCACAAAGAGAGCUGU